rnacentral:piRNA from 1 species
UGCUAGGACAGAAAUGAAAUUGCAGUGU